rnacentral:rRNA from 1 species
AUACGUAGGGAGCAAGCGUUGUCCGGAUUUACCGGGUGUAAAGGGUGCGUAGGCGGCACUGCAAGUCAGGCGUGAAAGGCGGAGGCUUAACCUCCGAGUUGCGUUUGAAACUGUGGUACUUGAGUGAAGUAGAGGUAGGCGGAAUUCCCGGUGUAGCGGUGAAAUGCGUAGAGAUCGGGAGGAACACCAGUGGCGAAGGCGGCCUACUGGGCUUUAACUGACGCUGAGGCACGAAAGCAUGGGUAGCAAACAGGAUUAGAUACCCUGGUAGUCCAUGCUGUAAACGAUGAUUACUAGGUGUGGGGGGUCUGACCCCUUCCGUGCCGGAGUUAACACAAUAAGUAAUCCACCUGGGGAGUACAACCGCAAGGUUGAA